GUAAUGACGUUUAUCGCUUUCACAUACUGAUAAAAGUCACUCGAAUUCGUUUUCUUGGCAAAAGUUUUGGUAUAGAUAUGAAAAAUUCUACAUCUUUACCCACAUACUACUUCCUUUAAUUCACGUACCUACUGAUAAUAAAUUUUCUAACGAGUAAAAACCGUUGAAAUAUCAAUGUAAAUUCAAUUCGAUUUCAUUUCUUCAAUAUAGAUUCAAUUUUUUCAAGAUCGAUGCACUGCAACGACAAAUCCGAUGUACACUAUCUAAGUGAACUGGCUGGAAUCCUGAAUUCAAUCAAGAACAAGCAAACAAAGGUCAACUUUUUAUCGACAAGAAAGGAUCAAUUAUUUGCUGCCUCGCUAUAAACUUUGAUAAAAAUUCGAAUCAUACAGUGACCGAAGAUCUUUACUUUAUUGAUCCACUGAUCCAUCGAUCCAUCGCAUCAACACCCGUAUAUUCAAUCAGGCAAAACGAAAAAAUUGAUGUGCAAUCCACGAACACCUCAUUCAUGGCCGUAUUCAAAAACGUUGAUAUUCUAUUUUUAAAUGGGACGGACGUAGCCCUGGAGGAGCAUUUGAAGCUCCAACUUAUGAAACUUUUUACAUACAAUUCGUAGCUCACAUAGAGAAGAAGAGGAGAUCAGAAUACCACUGACUGCAACAGAAGAAUGAUUCCGGCCUCGAAACAACAUGGAUGGAACAACUCAAAUGAAAAAUAUAAAGUAAAAGAAUGAUUCUGGCCUGGACAGAAUGAAUUUUAUUUAAUGUAGUUUUACGUAGGUAUAUUAUUUUAAUAGGAGUUUUAUUUUAUCAUCAGUUGUAUGUAGCUGUAAGUUUAUUACGAGUAUGUUUAUCUAUUCCAUAAGUACCGUAGGGUAUGUGAAAGGAUUAAUAUUAUAAUUUUUUUGAGAACAGGGUAAAUGCAUGAGAUGUUCGGCUUCUUAUCAUCUAUUAUCUAUUUAGGUAUAGAAUAUUAACAGAAGAAAUUUUUGUCGAGUGAAGUUGGGUCAAAUACAUAGCAUUUUUCAAUCCUU